GGGCUGAGGGAGGAAGCUGGCUUCCUGAAGCCUUCUCAGCCCUCAAACAGACAGACAGACAGCUGGCAGGAGGCAGCCUGGGGGGACACAGCCACUCCAUUACAGAGGCAAGAGUUGGGGAAGGACAGGAAGAGGAAAGAAUCACCCCCUCAGUCUUCCUCACUGCACAGAGACCCCAGAGAUGAAGUUGGGAAGGAGCAUUGCCCAUGGUUAAAGGGGGCCCGAGUGGACGGACGCUCACUCACUGAGACAGAUGAGCCCUGGAUCCCCCUCUGAUCCCAGCACUGAGAUAUGCCUGAUGGUUACCGUGGCUGAGUGAGCCUGCUCUGGGCCCUUGCCUUGGCCCCCUGAGCCCCAGCCCAGCAUGGUCCAGGCCUGGGAGGAGUGUUCCCGAGCUCAGCAGACAGCUCUGCCACAAGGGGCAAGCAUGGCCCAGCCUCCUGCCCCAGGCUCUACCGCCAAGAAGCACAUCAGACUGCAGGAGAGGUGAGACCUGGUGGGCUUCACCAGGAGACGGGGGUCUCUUAUU
rnacentral:lncRNA from 1 species